AUUGAACGCUGGCGGCAUGCCUUACACAUGCAAGUCGAACGGCAGCACGGGAGCAAUCCUGGUGGCGAGUGGCGAACGGGUGAGUAAUAUAUCGGAACGUGCCCAGUCGUGGGGGAUAACGUAGCGAAAGCUACGCUAAUACCGCAUACGAUCUAUGGAUGAAAGCGGGGGGAUCGCAAGACCUCGCGCGAUUGGAGCGGCCGAUAUCAGAUUAGGUAGUUGGUGAGGUAAAGGCUCACCAAGCCGACGAUCUGUAGCUGGUCUGAGAGGACGACCAGCCACACUGGGACUGAGACACGGCCCAGACUCCUACGGGAGGCAGCAGUGGGGGAAUUUUUGGGACAAUGGGCGCAAGCCUGAUCCAGCAAUGCCGCGUGCAGGAUGAAGGCCU
rnacentral:rRNA from 1 species